GAAUCUGGCUUCAGGUCGGGGACAACCACUGGAAACGGUGGCUAAUACCGGAUAUGCCGAGAGGUGAAAGGCUUGCUGCCUGAAGAUGAGCUCGCGUCUGAUUAGCUAGUAGGUGUGGUAAAAGCGCACCUAGGCGACGAUCAGUAGCUGGUCUGAGAGGAUGAUCAGCCACACUGGGACUGAGACACGGCCCAGACUCCUACGGGAGGCAGCAGUGGGGAAUUUUCCGCAAUGGGCGAAAGCCUGACGGAGCAAUACCGCGUGAGGGAGGAAGGCUCUUGGGUUGUAAACCUCUUUUCUCAGGGAAGAAAAAAAUGACGGUACCUGAGGAAUAAGCAUCGGCUAACUCCGUGCCAGCAGCCGCGGUAAUACGGAGGAUGCAAGCGUUAUCCGGAAUGAUUGGGCGUAAAGGGUCCGCAGGUGGCUAUGUAAGUCUGCUGUUAAAGAACCUAGCUUAACUAGGUAAAAGCAGUGGAAACUACAAGGCUAGAGUGCGUUCGGGGUAGAGGGAAUUCCUGGUGUAGCGGUGAAAUGCGUAGAUAUCAGGAAGAACACCAGUGGCGAAGGCGCUCUACUAGGCCGCAACUGACACUGAGGGACGAAAGCUAGGGGAGC
rnacentral:rRNA from 1 species